rnacentral:rRNA from 1 species
AGUGAACGCUGGCGGUAGGCCUAACACAUGCAAGUCGAACGGCAGCACAGUAAGAGCUUGCUCUUACGGGUGGCGAGUGGCGGACGGGUGAGGAAUACAUCGGACUCUACUUUUUCGUGGGGGAUAACGUAGGGAAACUUACGCUAAUACCGCAUACGACCUACGGGUGAAAGCAUGGGAUCUUCGGACCUUGCGCGAUUGAAUGAGCCGAUGUCGGAUUAGCUAGUUGGCGGGGUAAAGGCCCACCAAGGCGACGAUCCGUAGCUGGUCUGAGAGGAUGAUCAGCCACACUGGAACUGAGACACGGUCCAGACUCCUACGGGAGGCAGCAGUGGGGAAUAUUGGACAAUGGGCGCAAGCCUGAUCCAGCCAUACCGCGUGGGUGAAGAAGGCCUUCGGGUUGUAAAGCCCUUUUGUUGGGAAAGAAAAGCAGCAGGUUAAGACCCCGCUGUUCUGACGGUACCCAAAGAAUAAGCACCGGCUAACUUCGUG